UGAAUGUGCUGAUGUUUACCUUCCCAGCUUUUCGUAGGAAAUCGAAGAUGCUUUUGUGAAAGGCAAGUGGGGAAAAGGCCACACCGCUGCCGCUUGCGCAUAUGCUGGUUGCCUGGCGUGGACUGCAUUCCCACUAUAUUCCAGAGGACACUUCCUGCUGCCUCUGAGGAGUCCCUGCCCUCCCCCACACCUGGCGCCCAUGAGGAAAUCUCUGGGAUCCAUCUCGCCCGUGUGACCUGCCAGGUCAUGCACGCUCGGAUUUGUCACCACACUCACACGCCUUCCCAUCUCGUCCUGCUCAUUAUUAUUU